rnacentral:rRNA from 1 species
AGGGAAUCUUCCACAAUGGACGCAAGUCUGAUGGAGCAACGCCGCGUGAGUGAAGAAGGUUUUCGGACCGUAAAGCUCUGUUGUUGGUGAAGAAGGAUAGAGGUAGUAACUGGCCUUUAUUUGACGGUAAUCAACCAGAAAGUCACGGCUAACUACGUGCCAGCAGCCGCGGUAAUACGUAGGUGGCAAGCGUUGUCCGGAUUUAUUGGGCGUAAAGCGAGCGCAGGCGGAAGAAUAAGUCUGAUGUGAAAGCCCUCGGCUUAACCGAGGAAUUGCAUCGGAAACUGUUUUUCUUGAGUGCAGAAGAGGAGAGUAGAACUCCAUGUGUAGCGGUGGAAUGCGUAGAUAUAUGGAAGAAUACCAGUGGCGAAGGCGGCUCUCUGGUCUGCAACUGACGCUGAGGCUCGAAAGCAUGGGUAGCGAACAGGAUUAGAUACCCUGGUAGUCCAUGCCGUAAACGAUGAGUGCUAAGUGUUGGGAGGCUUCCGCCUCUCAGUGCUGCAGCUAACGCAUUAAGCACUCCGCCUGGGGGAGUACGACCGCAAG